UGGGGAAUAUUGCGCAAUGGGCGGAAGCCUGACGCAGCGACGCCGCGUGGGGGAUGAAGGCCUUCGGGUUGUAAACCUCUUUCAGCGCCGAAGAAGCGUGAGUGACGGUAGGCGCAGAAGAAGCACCGGCUAACUACGUGCCAGCAGCCGCGGUAAUACGUAGGGUGCAAGCGUUGUCCGGAAUUAUUGGGCAUAAAGCGCUCGUAGGCGGUUUGUCGAGUCUGCGGUGAAAACUCGGGGCUUAACUCCGGGCUUGCAGUGGGUACGGGCGGACGGGAGUGCGGUAGGGGAGACUGGAAUUCCUGGUGUAGCGGUGAAAUGCGCAGAUAUCAGGAGGAACACCGGUGGCGAAGGCGGGUCUCUGGGCCGUAACUGACGCUGAGGAGCGAAAGCGUGGGGAGCGAACA
rnacentral:rRNA from 1 species